UUUCAGUUUUCGCAGCCGCAAGUAUGGCGACAAGUUUGCUGAGAAGUUGUCCUCCAUUUUGCCAAAAUUCACAACCCUGAGAAAGCUAGAGUUUUGUGGUGCCAGUCUCACUGCCACAGGAGCAGCUAGUUUGGCCUCUGCUCUACAGAACUGUCCAGACGUCACUGAAAUCAAUCUGAGUGACAACAAUCUGAAAGAUGCAGGGAUCGAACACAUAGCUGAUGUUUUUACCAAACUACCAGGACUGGUCUCGGUGCUGCGAG